GACGAACGCUGGCGGCGUGCUUAACACAUGCAAGUCGAACGGAAAGGCCUCUUUCGGGGGGUACUCGAGUGGCGAACGGGUGAGUAACACGUGAGUAACCUGCCCUUGACUUUGGGAUAACUUCAGGAAACUGGGGCUAAUACCGGAUAGGAGCUCCUGCUGCAUGGUGGGGGUUGGAAAGUUUCGGCGGGUGGGGAUGGACUCGCGGCUUAUCACCUUGUUGGGGGGGUAGUGGGUUACCAAGGCUUUGUCGGGUAGCCGGCCUGAGAGGGUGACCGGCCACAUUGGGGCUGAGAUACGGCCCAGACUCCUACGGGAGGGAGCAGUGGGGGAUAUUGCACAAUGGGUGGGAGCCUGAUGCAGCAAAGCCGUGGGCGGGGUGACGGGCUUCGGGUUGUAAACCGCUUUCGCUCAUGACGAAGCUUUGUGUGACGGUAGUGGGUAAAGAAGCACCGGCUAACUACGUG
rnacentral:rRNA from 1 species